rnacentral:rRNA from 1 species
UACGGAGGGGGCUAGCGUUGUUCGGAAUUACUGGGCGUAAAGCGCACGUAGGCGGACUGUUAAGUCGGGGGUGAAAUCCUGGGGCUCAACCUCAGAAUUGCCUCCGAUACUGGCAGUCUCGAGUGCGGGAGAGGUGAGUGGAAUUCCCAGUGUAGAGGUGAAAUUCGUAGAUAUUGGGAAGAACACCAGUGGCGAAGGCGGCUCACUGGCCCGUAACUGACGCUGAGGUGCGAAAGCAUGGGGAGCGAACAGG